rnacentral:rRNA from 1 species
GAUGAACGCUGGCGGCGUGCCUAAUACAUGCAAGUCGAGCGAACGGACGAGAAGCUUGCUUCUCUGAUGUUAGCGGCGGACGGGUGAGUAACACGUGGAUAACCUACCUAUAAGACUGGGAUAACUUCGGGAAACCGGAGCUAAUACCGGAUAAUAUUUUGAACCGCAUGGUUCAAAAGUGAAAGACGGUCUUGCUGUCACUUAUAGAUGGAUCCGCGCUGCAUUAGCUAGUUGGUAAGGUAACGGCUUACCAAGGCAACGAUGCAUAGCCGACCUGAGAGGGUGAUCGGCCACCUUGGAGCUGAGACACGGUCCAGACUCCUACGGGAGGCACCAGUAGGGAAUCUUCCGCAAUGGGCGAAAGCCUGACGGAGCAACGCCGCGUGAGUGAUGAAGGUCUUCGGAUCGUAAAACUCUGUUAUUAGGGAAGAACAUAUGUGUAAGUAACUGUGCACAUCUUGACGGUACCUAAUCAGAAAGCCACGGCUAACUACGUG